CUGGGGUCCCCCUCCGCACCGUGGGGGAAGAUGGGGAUUUCCUGGAGGGAUACGCUUUUUGUCACUGUGAAGGCUGUGUGUAGGAAGCAAAGAAAUACAAUCCAACCUGCCAAAGGCAGCUAAGAGUUUAGAUGAUUGGCUAAUCAGUGCCACCCCGGACAAGGAGCUUCUGGCCUGAAUCUGUUUCUUCACCUGCAAAAUGGAAAUAAGGUUUGCUUCCUACUGAAGCCUUCAUUUCUUUACUCUGAUCAACCCAGAAGGCAAUCAGAACUUGAAAUAUUUUUACCACGAUUUAAUUACUCAUCUCCAGUCCCUCAAGCAUCAAGCAGGAUGACCAACUCGGUGAACUUGAUAUUCGGCAUUGUUGGGAGCAGCUAUCCAUAGCCCUCAGAAUACAAGUCAGGGCCACCAGGGGCGGCUGAGAUUAGACAGAAGCCAUGAAGGAGGAAGCGGUGAAGAGGUAUGAGGCCCAAGCAGCAGCGGAGUCCAGAAAGCAUCAACAAGCAUAAACUUCCUAAGGUAACAAUAUCUCCCGAAGAUCACCCCUUAGCAAUAAACACAGAUCUCGCUCCCUCCGUUUUCUAGCUGCGGAGGAGUUCAUCGCGUGGAUGCACCGUGGUUGAUCAACCUGUCACUUAUUGAUGGAUCUUUGGUUUGUUUUCAGUUUUUGCUGUUACAAAUAGAGCAACAGUUAAUAUUCUUGCAGACAUAUUUUUGUGUCUUUGCAAGCAUGUCUUUGGGCUCCCUCUUCUCUAUUAUCGCCAAGUGUUAAAAAGUACCUCCUCACACUUUCUGCUGGCUCUGCUUCUCCGCUUCACCGGACCUCCUGCCUCCUCUGCGCGUCGUGUUCCUGUUUUGUUCCGUUUGGAUAAUAUCCCAGCAGUUCUUUUUAACGCGGGGCUUCAUCUUGGAAGAGAUCUUGGGUAGACGAGUUUGGGAGUUCACGGGGUUGUCUCAGCACCGGCCAACCUCACGAGCCGCACGUAGCUGCACUUACCCACAAACUGGAGCCUCAGGGACCCUCCCAGUUUGGGUGCUGUCCUCGGGGUGGCCUGCUGACCCUCCUGAGAGUAUCCGUUGGCGAGUGUAGGGUCUCCAGCUUGCAGGGCCCUCAGCAGUCCCCCGCCUUUGCCCUGAUUUCCCCUGCACCGAAACUGAUACCAUGCAGGUCUUGCUGCUCUCAGUAAUUUGUCCCAUCUGCUUGCAUUUUGGCGUCCAUAGGAGCACCUGGCAUCGAGCUUUGCUGCUGAUGUCAUCAGUCAGUUCUUUGGCUUUUCUCACAACUUCACUGUUAAUUAGAAAAAAUGCAGAUUAAAGCUCAACCAAGAAUAUAUAGAAAGUCUUUGUAUAUUCUUACACAUUUUGUCAGUUUUAAAUUGUAUCAAAAUUAAAAGUUACCCCCCAAAAAAUUGAACUGAAAUCCAUUUUUGACUUAAUACCUUGGCCAAAAUCCAAAAGUUUGGUAAUACAUACUCUUGACAAGGCUGUGGGAAAAUAGUCCCUCUCAUACGUUGCCAGUGGGAGUGCAAACUGGUGCAACCCCUGUGGAAGGCACAUUGACAAAAUUCAUCAAAUUUCAAAUGUAUUCACACCUUUUGGCCCAGUAAUCGAGCUUCCAGGAAUUUAUAGUACAAACGCAUUUGCACAUGUGUGAAAUGAUGUAUGAACAAUGUUAUUCAUCAUAGUGGUGUUAGUAACAGCAAAAGUUUGGAGAUUGUCCAAAGUGAUUUAGAUUGUGAUCACUAGAGACUGGUUUAAUAAACAAUGCUCUGUCCUUUUAAUGGAAAGAAUGAAGAAGAUUUCUGUAUAAAUAGGAACAGUAAGAUCUCUAAGAUAUUAGAAAAAAGGUACGGAGCAAUGUAUACAUAUCAUUUUAUAAACAAAAAAAUGAGGAGGAAUAAAACAUAUUCAUGUUUAUGUAUAUUUGCAUAAAUAUAUUCUGGAAGAAACUAUACAAAACUAAUAAGUAAUAACCUGGGACGGGUGGAGCAUAGGGUACUGGGUGCCUCGGGAGCAAGCAUGGGAGGAAGACUUUUCAUUGAGCGCUUUUUGUAGUGUUUUGAUUGUUGAGCCAUGUGAAUGUAUUACCUAAUCAAAAAUGUAAAAAGUUGGGAAGCUUAUUUUUUCAGUGUAUUAGUUUGCACCUGAUUCUAGACUUUCUUUUGGAAGAGCAAGCAACUGGAUGUGAUCUGGCUGCUUCUAAGUCCAUCAAGAAGCAGAUGUAAUGUCAUAAAAGCUCGACGUUACAAAACUUGCCUCACACAAGCGGAAUCAGAUUCCUCCAAGCUGUGACAGUCAGGCCCUGGGGAGCCUCUGACCUCGGGGAGACGCACCAUCUAGAGAAGCUGGGCCACGGCCACCCACACGCACAUCAUCUGCUGCCAGGUCCUCAUGGUGUUGAAUCCACCUGUUGGAGUGGAAGGGACAGGAAUGGACAGGAGACUGAGGGAACCAGAGUCCCGCCAGACCCAAGCAUGUCUCUGGUGGACCAGAAGAGGGGAAACUCAUUCUGGGAGUAGCUUUCUGAUAGGGUUGUGCCUUUCCCUUCGUCAUCCUUCUCCCGUGUACAUCUCACUGUGACAGGAUGUAGACAUGCACCGGUCCUGCUGUGCAGCUCCACUGUCCUGCCUCUGUGGCGUCAUCUGCCUCUCUUCUCUGCCAGCUCCUGUGAAGUGCCCGAUUUGGUCUGACGGUUCCGGUCAUUACAACAUCAUGGGAUUAUAACAACACCUUUUUUCUCAAAACAGUUUCAAGCAUAAUUUUUUUAAUCAGGAAAUAUAUUUACACCUGGCUCAAAAAUAAAACAAGUUUUCUUCAGCCUGUCCUCAGAGGAUAAGAUUUCAAGUCUCC
rnacentral:lncRNA from 1 species